rnacentral:rRNA from 1 species
AUGAACGCUGGCGGCGUGCCUAAUACAUGCAAGUCGAGCGAACAGACGAGGAGCUUGCUCCUCUGACGUUAGCGGCGGACGGGUGAGUAACACGUGGAUAACCUACCUAUAAGACUGGGAUAACUUCGGGAAACCGGAGCUAAUACCGGAUAAUAUAUUGAACCGCAUGGUUCAAUAGUGAAAGACGGUUUUGCUGUCGCUUAUAGAUGGAUCCGCGCCGCAUUAGCUAGUUGGUAAGGUAACGGCUUACCAAGGCAACGAUGCGUAGCCGACCUGAGAGGGUGAUCGGCCACACUGGAACUGAGACACGGUCCAGACUCCUACGGGAGGCAGCAGUAGGGAAUCUUCCGCAAUGGGCGAAAGCUUGACGGAGCAACGCCGCGUGAGUGAUGAAGGUCUUCGGAUCGUAAAACUCUGUUAUUAGGGAAGAACAAAUGUGUAAGUAACUAUGCACGUCUUGACGGUACCUAAUCAGAAAGCCACGGCUAACUACGUG